rnacentral:rRNA from 1 species
GAUCCUGGCUCAGGAUGAACGCUGGCGGCGUGCCUAAUACAUGCAAGUCGAACGCUGGAAAUCUAGCUUGCUAGAUUGAAGGAGUGGCGAACGGGUGAGUAAUACAUAAGCAACCUACCCACGAAGACUGGGAUAAUCUCUGGAAACGGGGACUAAUACCGGAUAGGUAAUCGGAAGGCAUCUUCUGGUUAUUAAAGGUUAAAAACACUGGUGGAUGGGCUUAUGGCGCAUUAGUUAGUUGGUGAGGUAACGG